GACGAACGCUGGCGGCGUGCCUAAUACAUGCAAGUCGAACGAGUGGCGGACGGGUGAGUAACACGUGGGAACCUACCCAUCAGAGGGGGAUAACUACUGGAAACGGUGGCUAAUACCGCAUACUAUCGGAUGAAACAAUAUGGGAUUAGCUAGUAGGUGGGGUAAAGGCUCACGUAGGUGAAGCUCUCUAGAUGGUCUGAGAGGAUGAUCAGCCACACUGGUACUGAGACACGGCCCAGACUCCUACGGGAGGCAGCAGUGGGGAAUAUUGCACAAUGGGCGCAAGCCUGAUGCAGCCAUGCCGCGUGUAUGAAGAAGGCCUUAGGGUUGUAAAGUACUUUCAGCGGGGAGGCGUUACCCGCAGAAGAAGCACCGGCUAACUCCGUGCCAGCAGCCGCGGUAAUAC
rnacentral:rRNA from 1 species